CCUACGGGUGGCAGCAGUGAGGAAUAUUGGUCAAUGGACGAGAGUCUGAACGAGCCAAGUAGCGUGAAGGAUGACUGCCCUAUGGGUUGUAAACUUCUUUUAUAUGGGAAUAAAACGUUCCACGUGUGGGAUUUUGUAUGUACCAUAUGAAUAAGGAUCGGCUAACUCCGUGCCAGCAGCCGCGGUAAUACGGAGGAUCCGAGCGUUAUCCGGAUUUAUUGGGUUUAAAGGGAGCGUAGGUGGAUUGUUAAGUCAGUUGUGAAAGUUUGCGGCUCAACCGUAAAAUUGCAGUUGAAACUGGCAGUCUUGAGUACAGUAGAGGUGGGCGGAAUUCGUGGUGUAGCGGUGAAAUGCUUAGAUAUCACGAAGAACUCCGAUUGCGAAGGCAGUUCACUGGACUGCAACUGACACUGAGGCGCGAAAGUGUGGGUAUCAAACAGGAUUAGAUACCCUAGUAGUC
rnacentral:rRNA from 1 species